CACGUAGGGUGCGAGCGUUGUCCGGAAUUAUUGGGCGUAAAGAGCGUGUAGGCGGCCAGACAGGUCCGUUGUGAAAACUAGAGGCUUAACCUCUAGACGUCGAUGGAAACCGUCUGGCUAGAGUCCGGAAGAGGAGAAUGGAAUUCCUGGUGUAGCGGUGAAAUGCGCAGAUAUCAGGAAGAACACCCGUGGCUAAGGCGGUUCUCUAGUACGGUACUGACGCUGAGACGCGAAAGCGUGGGGAGCGAACAGG
rnacentral:rRNA from 1 species